GUAAAUUCAGCGAUGAAAUGACGUGAGAGGCACAUGUGGCUCUACAUCGGAUCAAGAAUCACUCAAGAGAGCCAUACUUUGUUUUUCAUUCCUUUGGUUUGUGCGUCAAUGAGCCACAAGGUUCUGAGGGUUGAUCUGAGAUGUCCCACAAUGCAUUCACAGAGAGACAGGAAGAUCAAAGAGAAGAAUGAAAGUCUGACUCACUCGUGUGCUACAUUGAAACAACCAUCAGAGAAGUUCGAGAUUCUGCUUCGGUGAAAUACAAUCCAUUACAACACUUGCAGGCGAUGGAUGGUUUGCUGGAAGUUUAACUUUAAGAUGAAAACAGGCCUAGAGAGUCUCAACUGCAACUGUGAGGUUGAAGUCAUUUCCCUGUGAGGGGUGUUGGGUCCCUGGAGGGGGCAGCUCUAAUGAGACCCGAUCUGUGGCUAGUUGCUCCAUGGCUCAUCAGACGCAUUCAUCACUCUGGUGUGUAUUCAUCUUCUCAGAGGCUCAGAGUGUGUCAUGAGGCUUGAAAGCUGCCAU